rnacentral:lncRNA from 1 species
UAGAUCGAAUAGAAUACAGGGGGCGACCAAGAACCUCCAUCAAACCCUAGAUCACACAAAACUCACAAAUUGAAGGCACAAAUCAGUUCCAAAACGAAAUUCGAGCUUAGAUUGGUGAUCUCCACGAUAAGGGGAUCAUAAGGCAAGGAAACCGGGACGUCAAGCGGACAAGCCGGUGGUGAUAUGCGCUUGAAGGGAGUGCUUUGAAGGUACGUAACCUUGGUUUCGUUACAUUAUACUUUGAUUUUAUUGUAGUUAAUAUCUUGAAAUUAGCAAUAUGAAAGAUUGUAGUUUAUUGUAGAAGUGAUGAAGUUCACUAGUUAAUCAAAACGGGUCAAAAGAUUUGUUAAAGUAUGUUUGGUUGUCAUUAAGAUGGUGGAUUCCAUUAGACAACCAAUCGGGUCAAACAACGAUUUAAAAAGGUAGUUUCGAAGUGACUUGAAUGUCACUUGAUGAUUGUGAAUUAUUAAAGCGUAAACCAUGGAAUGGAAGUGAUACGCUGAGAUGGACAAGCCCGGGAAUGGGUAAUCAUGGUUAGAAAUCAAAGACGGUGAAUUAUGCAAGUAUGUAACCUUUAUCCCGUUACAUUAUGUAUUUGAAUAAUUAUGGAUACUUGGAAUUGUGUUUAUUAGAAAUGGUAGUGUUAGUAAAAGUGACGUAGAUCACUAUUAGUUAAACGAGUCAAAAACUUGAAUAUGAAAUGUUUGGUAGUCAUUAGAAAUGGAGAAUUUCAUAAAUGAGCCAAACGAGUCAAAUAAUUGUUUAGUAAGUAGUAAAAAAAUGUGUUUGAAUAGCAUUUGGCGACGAUGGAUCACAAGAGUGUGAAACCAUAGAUUUGGUAAUGAAACGCCAGUGAUCGUAAGCCCCGGAUGUUGGGUAAAUACGCCUUGGCGUUGUUACAUUAAUAUUAGUAGUAGAAUUAGUGCAAAGUUAUGCGGGACGAAUAAAUAGAAAAGGGAUUCAUAGACUUUCAGUCCGUAGACUCAACUUUUGAUUAAUUGAUUAUAAUAAAUGCGUUGGUAUUUAAAUUACGGACGCGUAGGAAAAAGAAUCACCUAAAAUGGACAUGUAGAAUAAAAGUUAUGAAUGUUUGAAGUUAGAAUUUUGUUAAACAUAAGAGCUGGGAAUCUGCAGCACAAACCAAGCAACAGACUGUCGAAAACAAGGUGUCGCGUUACACGACACCAAACCUGAUACAUUGUCGCGUAACGCGACGUCUGUCGCGGGCCGCGUAGGCUAUGGAAGGAUCUGUCGCGGGGCGCGACAGACCUAAAGAUCAGAAUUUUUGUUUUGAUUUCAUUGUUUGAUACCAGAACUUAUUUAUAUGUGUGAUAUUGGUCUUAACCCGGAUGGCGAUCAAGCAAGAAUCCAAGAACCGAAUACUAAUUUUGAAGCUUCCGCGUUAAUCUAAUCAUGUUUUAGACGAUGUUUGUUUUGUAAACACUACUUAAUGUUGAAUGUUUUAAACAACUUAGUUGAUUAUAUUAGAACACCUUAAUCGUGUAACCUUAGUUUUAUCAACUAAGUUUCGAUAAUUAUGCAUUUUGGUU